rnacentral:lncRNA from 1 species
CCUGUUCGGCGUCUUGCAGCAGUGCCUGCGAUCCCGCGUGAGUCCGUCGCUCCCUCCGCGAAAACCUGGACUCUUUCCCAGAAGCCUUGGGCUCCAGCACCAUGCCUGCUGCAGCCGCCAAAGAGCGGGAAGCCACAGGCUCUGCGGGUCUUGGUUACAGCGUCUCUGGUCGUGCCGGGCCUCCUUCUGCAUCUGUUCCACGGCCCGGCCAUCUCCCUCGUGCAGCCCAGAACAAUUGGGAGGAAGCGUUGGCGGGCGGAGGGGGAUGCCUGUUGGGCUUUUCCACUAGUUACUGAGUGUUUUUUGCGAAGAGUACGUUGCUAUCAGUGGCGUCCGGGUCGUCUCUCCCUCUCUUCCUUUUGGUCCCCAUAAAUGAGCUGUUCUCGGCUCUGGGAAAGAAAAGCCCUCCAGCGAUUAUGCGGAUCUAAUUAAGUCAAUCAGGAAACUGCCGGAGAGCGGCACUGGCUUGAAGCGGAGUUUGUCCUGAGGCACAGCGGAACGAUUGCACGCGGCCCUUUUCAGCGGUUCGAGCUCGGCCAGCGCCGGGCUGCAAACGGAAGCCUGAGCUGGGCUUGGGGAACUACGCCCGCAGAUUUCUCUAAUUUUAUUCACAAAACUGGACACCCUCAGGGAAAGCGGCAAAGCCGGCGCGAGCCUCCUUCCCACUCUGGACCUAGCUGCAGCUCCAAAGCGAGAUAGCUGUCUAGCCUCAGCCGGUACAGCUCCCGGCCCCUUUCUCCACCCGGAUCUUCGGCUGCUCAGAAGCGAUCAGCUCCCUUAGCCCAGGUGGGAGGCGGGAGACUCCAGAUCCUGUGACCCGCGGAGGCAGACCUCAGACAUGUUCCCCAUGCACAGAAAUGACUGGGGCUCCAGUGUGUGCACCUUCAACUCUGAAGCCCACCUGCCCACUUCAGGCGCUGGCGCGGAGAUAACCACCACGCGUCUGCCGGGCAAAGUUCGAGAGUGAAUUUACAUCUUCUCUUUCCGCUACUCCUGGCCACUGUCCCCUCCCAGCCCCAUCUCCCCCGCCCCCAACCCUGGACUAUGUGGUAGGGGACUCGCUUAAGCACCCAAGUACUGCGCGGUUGUUGAGACCAAGGCGAGCUGCGGAGCCUGUGGGCUGUUGUUCGUGGGAAGAGGGUUGCGACCUCAGGAGAGACCGAAAACAGCGCCACUUGAAACCCGCCGGUCCUGAAGAUCACAGAGUUCCCGGAGUGGUAGGGAAGGCUCCACGCUCUUGAGAGCAGAGGCGGCCAGGGGCAGUGGGGGACGCUUCCAGGUAUGUGGGAAGGAGAACUUCAUGUCUAAGUGCGCUCUUGUGGGUUUCUCGGCCAGCUGGGCCGAGCCUCUCUUUCUCUGUCCUCAUGUGUCUGUCCUCUGGACAACAGUGGCUCUGUAUGGCGGAUUGCGACCCUGAGUGACGGGCGCCUGUCUUGCAUCCUGUGUCCUGUGUCCUCCCCUCCAGACCUCAUGCUUGGUGUCCACAGAGUGGACCCAGGACUGCCUGGAAGGCUUAUCAUCCAGGCCCGCGACUUCCCCCCAGAGUCUGAAGCCUUGCGACCUGGUCGGGGACGACAAACCUGCUCGGGGUCAACAGCGAGACCCUAGUGGGGAAUGAGGAUGGGUGAGGGUGCGCCUGGGUUGAGGGUCUGUGACUGUAGCAUGGAAAAGGAGUUCAUGCAGGGAUCGCACUGAGGGACAGCCAAGAAUACUCCAGCGGCAGCCUCCCUCCUACCAAUUACACGCCGCCUGCUGGCACAGUGGCACCUCGGGAACAGGACGCCCUUCCGGGCCCUGAAUUGGGGCAGCGCAGGAGGGAGGGUGCAGAGCCAUAGCGACCUGUGUGUACCAUAGACAUGCACAUGCGCUCACCUUCACGUGUAACCCUUCUGAGUCCCAGACAGGGUAACUGGCGAGGCCGUAAGUACCCUCGUGGGGGCGGAAAUAUUGCCGCGUCCCUGAGUCCUCUGGGCAGAUGCAGAGCCGCGUAAGCCUCAUAGAAGCAAAGCCAGGGGAACAGUGGGAGCUCUGGCCUCGCGGUGCGGACGCUAGUAAUGGAUUCCUGGGGAACAGCGACCUCUGGAGGAGCCUCUCAUCCACACAGAGUCAGGAACUAAAGGACUGGUUCUGAGACAAAGCACCCUUUCCUCACCCUACUCCCAUUCCACCCGCUUGGAAAAGUUAUCCAGAGACUUUUAACCUCCGGACUCCACUCUUCGCUUAUGUUUGCUUUUUUUUCCAACCUGUACCCACGCUUCAAAAUCCCUGCUCCAGUCCUGCCUCUUCCAGAAAGAAGCCUUCUGGCCAGCCCAGUUCCUCUUCCCCUCUUCCUGUUCUGAGCUCAUUCUCAGGCCACACUGCACAGCCAACCUGCUUCCUGCCUGCUCUUCUCCAAAAAGACUGUGAAUCCACUCCACCCACGCCUUGUGUUGCAUGCUGGGCAUGCCGUUCCCUGCCCCAACCCACCCCACCCCCCAGUGAAUAAAGACUGAAGUUAUUCAUUCCAAAAAAAAAAAAAAAAAAAAAA